GCCUGGCUGGCUCAGUUGGUAGAGCAUGUGACUCUUGAUCUUGGGGUCAUGAGUUCAAGCCCCAUGUUGGGUG
rnacentral:tRNA from 1 species